CGGCGUGCCUAACACAUGCAAGUCGAGCGGAGUGCAGUGUCUAAGAGACUUCGGUCAAAUUAAUCUGUACUUAGCGGCGGAUGGGUGAGGAACGCGUGGAGAACCUGCCCUUCACAGGGGGAUAACAGUUGGAAACGGCUGUUAAUACCGCAUAUGCUCACGGCACCGCAUGGUGCAGGGAGGAAAGCCGAGACGGUGAAGGAUGGCUCCGCGUCGGAUUAGCCAGUUGGCGGGGUAACGGCCCACCAAAGCGAUGAUCCGUAGCCGGCCUGAGAGGGCGACCGGCCACAUUGGGACUGAGACACGGCCCAAACUCCUACGGGAGGCAGCAGUGGGGGAUAUUGCACAAUGGGGGAAACCCUGAUGCAGCCGACGCCGCGUGAAGGAAGAAGUGCUUCGGCAUGUAAACUUCUAUCAGCAGGGAAGAAGAUGACGGUACCUGCACAAGAAGCCCCGGCUAACUACGUGCCAGCCGCGGC
rnacentral:rRNA from 1 species